UACGUAGGGUGCAAGCGUUAAUCGGAAUUACUGGGCGUAAAGCGUGCGCAGGCGGCUUUGCAAGACAGAUGUGAAAUCCCCGGGCUUAACCUGGGAACUGCAUUUGUGACUGCAUGGCUAGAGUGCGGCAGAGGGGGAUGGAAUUCCGCGUGUAGCAGUGAAAUGCGUAGAGAUGUGGAGGAAUACCGAUGGCGAAGGCAGCCCCCUGGGAUAACACUGACGCUCAUGCACGAAAGCGUGGGGAGCAAACAGG
rnacentral:rRNA from 1 species